CUCGCAGUAGCACAGGAACAGAGGCGGAGGGAGAGAGAGGGAAAGAGAGCCAGGGACAACGUCACAUUAGAAAGAUCACAGACCCAACAGCAGCAGCAACAAGAAGCAAACCAAAAAACGUCAAUGCAACAGUUCCUCCUGUCCGACCUGCAGACUACCAGCCAGAAAGACAACAGCUGGAGAAACAUCUGUCUACCUCUGACAUCCACCAGCUCAUCCAUACAGCAAACAAACAUCAACAACCAAGAAGCAGCUUCACCUCUGAUCACACACACACUCAACUCUACUCACUCACCUGGAUCAACUCUCAGAUCCACCCGGUUCUUAAAAGAUGGAUGCUGCUCAUCAAGAUCAAUUGUGGUACAAAAGGACAUUUUCAUCUUCCAGGUUUCCACUUCAUCAGACAUCACUUAGACACAGAGCUGGAUGAGGCCAGCACAAACAGCAGCCUAUUCGACAAAGAUGAUGGAUCCAUGGGGUCAGGAAAGCCAGAAGCAGGGGAGCUGGAGAGGUACCUUUCAUGUCCAUUCACAGGAUGUGUGGCUCUAUUGCAUGUCUUUCCUCACAUCAAGAAGCUGUCGAUCAAAGUCAAUACAGCUCUUUCUGCAUUUGGAGCUUGUGAAGGACCUCUUAGUCAUGCAGGACUCCUGUUCACUGCAAAACAGUUACAGCUUCACAGAAAGAACCUCGAGAGCAAACUGCUGCUGAAGCUUAACCAUCACUUCACUGAGUGAAGAAAUAGCAUAUUUUUGCUAAAUAUGCAAAAAUAGAUGCACACAUGUACAACUUAUGGUAAACUGAGCUGCCUUGUAUGUACAUAUGUUGAAGAUGCCUCGUUCUAAUGUUUUCUCUGAGGCUGCUAUGCCAUUUGGAGCAAAAAUGAAUAUAAAGUUUACAGCAUAUCUUGUCACUGGAAAUUGUUUGCAACAUUUAUAUAUUCAUAUUAUUUACUGUAGGUAUUGGUGAAAAAAGUUUUAUGUUGUGAAAAACCGAAAUAUGGAAAUUAGAAUUGCUGUGCCUUAUUUUGUUGAUGUUUUUACAUAUAUUCCUUUUGAAAAUAAUACAAUUUGUAUAUUUAUUUAUUUUUGUUUGUCUGAUAGCAUUUAUUUAUAAAAGAAUCGGACAUUUUAAACAGUU
ensembl:lncRNA